rnacentral:rRNA from 1 species
GAUGAACGCUGGCGGCGUGCCUAAUACAUGCAAGUCGAGCGAACAGACGAGGAGCUUGCUCCUCUGACGUUAGCGGCGGACGGGUGAGUAACACGUGGAUAACCUACCUAUAAGACUGGGAUAACUUCGGGAAACCGGAGCUAAUACCGGAUAAUAUAUUGAACCGCAUGGUUCAAUAGUGAAAGACGGUUUUGCUGUCACUUAUAGAUGGAUCCGCGCCGCAUUAGCUAGUUGGUAAGGUAACGGCUUACCAAGGCAACGAUGCGUAGCCGACCUGAGAGGGUGAUCGGCCACACUGGAACUGAGACACGGUCCAGACUCCUACGGGAGGCAGCAGUAGGGAAUCUUCCGCAAUGGGCGAAAGCUUGACGGAGCAACGCCGCGUGAGAGAUGAAGGUCUUCGGAUCGUAAAACUCUGUUAUUAGGGAAGAACAAAUGUGUAAGUAACUAUGCACGUCUUGACGGUACCUAAUCAGAAAGCCACGGCUAACUACGUG